AGGAAAAAAAAAAAAAAAAGAAAAGGGGGGGGAAAAAGGGGAAAAAUAAUUAGAACCCACCAUCAAGGCAUACAGGGAAAGGAAAGAAAAUAAAAACCCUUCCAAUAAAACUGAAAAUAAAACAAACCCAAACCACAGAAAACAAAAUUCUCCUAUUUUCCCUUUCCCACCCUUAGAAAUUAUCCUUUUUUUAAAAAUUUUUUUAUAGAGGGAGGGAGGAUAACAAAAAGAAAAAGCAUUCAUCAAUUAGCAAAGACUUACAAGUAAGCUUCUUUGGAUAAUCUU
rnacentral:misc_RNA from 1 species